UUUGCUUCUAAGGUCUCUCUGGUGUUUAAAGAGCUCGAGACAAAACUGCCGAGCAGAAUAUUCCAGUUUAUCCCGUGGAAUAGGAAGGAAUGGCCCCAGACAUAAUUACAAGAGAAAUUCACAGAGCUCAGUGCAAAGAGUGCAAAAGAACCCGGAAGUGCCAGGGGCAAAAUGCGAUGGAUGAUUUCCAAUAGCACUGUCUGCCCAGUCUGCUCCCACACCUGGACAGAAAUCUUGGCUGCCUCAGGGAUGCAGUUUGCAACCUCUCUGCUCCAACACUUUGACACCCACAGAAGAUGCUGAAGAACAACCCGUGCCAGAUCUCUGCUCCUCGCUGCGUCCAAAUGUGGUAAAAGCCUGGAAAGCUCUGACGUAGGAGAGCCCUGCUUGUCCUGGUCUGAUCCUGAAUGACACUGACACCCACUGACUUCUCCCUGCAACAGAUGCUGCUUAGGGAAAAUACCAGGAUUUGGAUAAAUUAUGGGACAGAAAAAAAAAGUUUACUUCCCAGCCUUUAAAUGCAGGGCGCUGGCAUGUGUGGCAGGGGUGGAACACAACAUUCACCAAAUUCUUCAUGUCCAGACUUUAUUACCCUGCUGGAUAUGGAGAAAGGGAACGAAUAAAGCCUUCCCAGGCAGGAAUAAAGCUCAAAUUUGAGCUUAUCAGACUCCAUAAAGGAGCAAAGAGGCAUGGUGCAUGGCAUAGAGAACUUCCCUGGUAAUAUCCAGAUGUCCCUGCCUUUUCCACCCAGCAAUUGCCCUGGAAAAUGGCUGAUGGUUGGGUUGUGUUAUAGCAGAAAAUAGGGAUUUUCCAGCUGGACCACAGACUGAGGCCAUAGGGCAUCUGCAUCCCAAUGCCUUUCCCUGCCCUUUACCUCAGCUGGCCCUUUGCAAUGGUGAAAUCCUGUUCCCAAAGGCAGGAACACAAAAUAACUCAUGAUGUGCCUCAAACUGUGAGCAAAGAGUAUCUGAUCCUGCCCAAACACAGACUGCUCGCUGCAGAGGGGGCAAUAUUUACACAGCAAUCAACAUCUAAUUCCCUUUCCCAGCCCAAAUAUUCCCUUGUGUGCUCAGCCACAAUUUCUGCUCAUCCAGAAAAUCUGCUGGGUGAGCAUGGGGAUAUGAGGAGUGCUCCCAGGGAAUUCCUGGAUCUCAGGGAUCAUCCCAAGAUAUACAAGGAUCAAGGGUUUUCUCGUGGCUCAUUUCAUUUAUAACCACCCAGCCUGGGCAGGGCUACUGAAAAUUCAGACUUCUGUGCUUUCCACACUUUCUAAAUUAAAGUUUUUUCCCAUGUAAGUGAGCAAAAAAGUACCCUUCUUGCCUCAAGGAUGGGGAAAUAAGAGCAAAGAACCAAAUUGCAGCCUCAAAGUGCAAUUUAGAUCUCCCAGGAGGCAGAAGAUCUCCUCCUUGCCAGCCAUCCCUUUGCUGAAUUCAACAGCUCAGAAUGACCAGCUGGGCAGAAUGAAAUUCCUUCCAUUCUCAGAUACUGCGAUAAAUAUUUAAUAAAUAAUCAAAUUAAAGCCGAA